AUUGUUUACAUAUUCAUGCGAGAAUAAGUUGCUCACUUGACGGUCUCUAACUACCGUUUCGCUGACUUUGUCAAAACAAUAACAACUUGUUUGCCAUUAAUUUUGAACUAUAAUCUAAACCAAUAAAAAUAAGUCAGUGGAACUUUAAUUUUCCGUAUUUUCUCUUGAUUUUUACAUGGUUUAAAUUAACCUCAGCUUUAAUAACAAUGAAUACAGUAGGGCACAGUCGACAGUGACAAUUUUCGGAUAAACUUCCUGGUUUUUGUCAAAGGGGCAGAACCUACUACCUGGUAGUUUCAAUGAUGAACUAUCAUGAUAUAGGGCUAAAAGAUGGAUGUGCCAAAUCCACCUCAUGAAAAACAGAUUGGGCAAAAGUGGAGUGCGAACACUAAAUGAUGUGCUGCUAAAUAGCAGAUCUUUACAAGUGAAUUAGGCAAAUCCUGAUGCAACCUGAGCUUACCAAGUUUACUGACAGUUUGGACUCUGUGUGGAUGAUAAUAUGGACAAUAUAUUGUGUUCAUGUUGUGUUGUGAUUGACAUUUUUUAACAGAUAAGAUUUUUUAAUCCAGACUUAACAGGUGAUUUUUCUUCAAAGAAUAAAUACAAUACUUUUUAUUGAUGUGCAUGAAUUUGAGUACAAAAUAUCAACAAUGUGUAUCUUGUGUUGUUUUUCCAAUCAGUCUGUCAUCCAUAGGUAAUAUAUUAAGUAUGAGAAGGGAAUAUUUUAUUUUUACAUUUUUUUUGUUUCUGCACACCAUGUCAGAUACAUGAAAAUAUA